rnacentral:rRNA from 1 species
AUUGAACGCUGGCGGCAGGCUUAACACAUGCAAGUCGAGCGGGGUGAUGGUGCUUGCACUAUCACUUAGCGGCGGACGGGUGAGUAAUGCUUAGGAAUCUGCCUAUUAGUGGGGGACAACAUCUCGAAAGGGAUGCUAAUACCGCAUACGUCCUACGGGAGAAAGCAGGGGAUCACUUGUGACCUUGCGCUAAUAGAUGAGCCUAAGUCGGAUUAGCUAGUUGGUGGGGUAAAGGCCUACCAAGGCGACGAUCUGUAGCGGGUCUGAGAGGAUGAUCCGCCACACUGGGACUGAGACACGGCCCAGACUCCUACGGGAGGCAGCAGUGGGGAAUAUUGGACAAUGGGGGGAACCCUGAUCCAGCCAUGCCGCGUGUGUGUGAAGAAGGCCUUAUGGUUGUAAAGCACUUUAAGCGAGGAGGAGGCUCUUUUGGUUAAUACCCAAGAUGAGUGGACGUUACUCGCAGAAUAAGCACCGGCUAACUCUGUGCCAGCCGCCGCCGUAA